AGUAAGUUGAACAUACAUAUUGACGUAGCCUUUCGAAAACCGGGACAUUCAGUGUCCCGGGAGAGUGGAUAAAUUUCCCGGGACAGGUUAUUAAAAAGAAGGCAACCCUAGAAUGUGGACGAGCACUGACAUUGCCAUUUUCUAAUAAAAAAGACACAGUCCAGUUCAAAAGGACAGUAGCAAAACAUAUGGAAUGUUGUUUACAAAGUACAAAACAGUGGUUGGCUUCCGCAUUCUAGAUCACGUGAGGACCACUGCAGCCUUUCAUUGGUUAUGACAGUGAGCUGGGAAUUCUGUACAACCAUUCUGCUCAUACUAGCUUUGUAUAAUGCAGUAUGUAGGAAGGCUAUCUGUGUACAGUGAGCAUAUUUCCUGUAUAUGGAAUAGCUCAGGGCUGCAAAACUAAGUUCCUGUAAAGCAAAGCACCCAAUCUUUCAGGCUUACUGGAAAACUACAUGGCGUGUUGGAGCAGGGUUGGAACUGGAAUAUACAUUUAGAAUCAACAUUUGUGACCAUGGACCACAAAACCAGUCAUAAGGGUCAAUUUUUUGAAACUGAGAUUUAUACAUCAUACUUUUACAGUAGGAAAUUUAGAAAAUAUCUUCAUGGAACAUGAGCUUUACUUACUAUCCUAAUGAUUUUUGAUAUAAAAAGUCAAUAAUUUUGACCCGUAUGUAUUGUUGGCUAUUGCUACAAAUAUACUUGUGCUACUUAUGACUGUUUUUUUGGUCCAGGGUCACAUUUGCCAAAAUAUGCAAGCCAUGUAAAUCAAUGAAAUUAAAUUACAUUAACAUUUUGGGGGUUGAAAAAGUACAAAAUAUUUAUAAAAAUUCUCAUCCAGUAAAUCAUGAACACUUGAGAAAGUCACAGGGCCUUUGAAUAUUGGGGGCCUUUGAAUCAAAAAGGUUGAGAACCACUGCAGUUUACUAUUUACAGAACAGUCUAUCUAUCAGUGAAAGUGUGCUGGGAUAUGUGUUGAUAUGAAUGCAUACAGUACAUGGGUCAUUAGUGUUAAUUUAUGAUCAUGAAUGUAGCCCAAAGAUUAAGUGGAAAGUCCCAGAAGGAGUUCUUCAGACAUUCCUGUUUGUCAAGUUUGUGUUGACCAAUACGCUUACUUCUAACUGGAAUCUACUGUGUUCUAUGAAAAAUAAUCUACGAAAAAUAACUGUUAAGACACAUUAACAUUUUGUUUAAACUGUGGGCAGGUAUUAUUGAGUUGAUAUUUGACCAUUUCCCUGCCUCUAUGUAUUACAAUCUGCUGCAUAUUUUAAUAUCAACACUUUAAUGUAAAACUCUUUAAUGAUGUAAACACAAAGCUAUUUAAUGUAGACUUAAUAUUUAAUGCAGUAUACAUUCAAGGCUGAAAGAAGGUGGAACGUGAGAUCAAAUUUAGAAAACAGGUUUUGGCAGUACAGAAA
ensembl:lncRNA